rnacentral:lncRNA from 1 species
UAACUGGACUGAAGGAUACAAAGUAUUGUUCUUGGGUGUGUCUGUGAGGGUGUUGCCAAAGGAGAUUAACAUUUAAGUCAGUGGACUGGGAGAGGCAGACUCACUCUCAAUCUGCGUAGGCACUAUCUAAUCAGCUGCCAGUGUCGCUAGAAUAAAGCAGGCAGAAGAAGAUGGAGAGAGUAGACUCACUGAGUCUUCCGGUCUUCAUCUUUCUCCCGUGCUGGAUGCUUCCUGCCCUCAAACGUCAGACUCUAAGUUCUUCGGCUUUUGGACUCUUGGACUUACAUUAGUGGUUUGCCAGUGGCUCUUGGCACUUUGGCCACAGACUGAAGGCUGCACUGUCAGCUUCCUGAGUUUUGAAGUUUUGGGACUUGGAUUGAUCCACUACUGGCUUCCUUGCUCCUCAACUUGCAGAUGGCCUAUUGUGGGACUUCACCUUGUGAUAUGAAACCAAGACAAAAAUAAGUCAAGGAGCUGGAACAGCUAUUAGGUGGUAUAAUGAAGAUUCAAAUCCAGGCUGUCGAUUUCAAAGCUUUACACCUAAUACUCAGUACUGCAUCCCAGAUGUCAAACAACAUGCAGCAUUACUAUUCAUGAUUCUCAAACUCUUCAAUAAAAGUUUAAAAAUAUACAGCCUGAGAAAAAGGAUUCUUCAGAGACAAGAUAAGUAAAUUCCCAGUGACAUUCCUUUUCAAUGAUAAGUAGCACCUAAAAUUUGCUAAUCUCAUGAGGCUUUUGCAGCACUUGGGACUUGGUCUGCCCAUAAGGCUCAAGAGCAGCUCAUCUAACAUGUUUUCCUCCACUUGUCUUUGGUCAUCAGCCAAAGUGCUGGCCCCUGACCAGCUUACUCUCAUUUCUCUCAUCUCUGUCCUAUUCCAGGACACCCAUUCUUUCACACUUACAUUCUAUUUGCUACUGACCAUUGCCUUUUAUUCUAGAACCCUUAUCUAUCACCUAGCAUCUACUCUACACUGCCAAUCUAUUCACAGAUGGGUUCUUCUACUCCCUUCUAAAUAGCAUGCAAGCUAAAACUUUUUAUUCCCUCUUACUUAACUAUAGAACCCCCAAAUUAAGUAGCAGCAUUUUGCUUUAACCCUCCACUGCUGUAUUCAGAUCAUUAUUUGAUGAUUAUAACAAUACUUACCUCCCCUGAGAUGCCUAUUAUCCUCUAUCCACCCUUACUGAUAUUAUCUGAAGACUUCCUAACCCAUCAACACUUUUUUUUUUUUUUCGGGGGAAAUUCACACCCAAUAUUUCACAUAGGUUCUUUUCCAUUUUCUUUAAGUGUCACCUGGUCUGAGAAAUAAAGGGACAGAGUACAAAAGAGAGAAAUUUUAAAGCUGGGUGUCCAGGGGAGACAUCACACGUCGGCUGGUUCUGUGAUGCCCCCUGAGCCGUAAAACCAGCAAAUUUUUAUUAGUGAUUUUCAAAAGGGGAAGGAGUGUACGAAUAGGGUGUGGGUCACAGAGAUCAC